AGUGAACGCUGGCGGUAGGCCUAACACAUGCAAGUCGAACGGCAGCACAGUAAGAGCUUGCUCUUACGGGUGGCGAGUGGCGGACGGGUGAGGAAUACAUCGGAAUCUACUUUUUCGUGGGGGAUAACGUAGGGAAACUUACGCUAAUACCGCAUACGACCUACGGGUGAAAGCAGGGGAUCUUCGGACCUUGCGCGAUUGAAUGAGCCGAUGUCGGAUUAGCUAGUUGGCGGGGUAAAGGCCCACCAAGGCGACGAUCCGUAGCUGGUCUGAGAGGAUGGUCCGCCAACCCUGAACCUGGGACCCGUCCCAGCCUCUUACGGGAGGCAGCAGGGGGAAUUUUGGGCCAAGGGGCGAAAGCUUGUCCCAGCCAUACCGCGUGGGUGAAGAAGGCCUUCGGGUUGUAAAGCCCUUUUUUUGGGAAAGAAAAGAAGCAGGUUAAUCCCCCGCUUUUUGGCCGUAACCAAAGAAUAAGCACCGGCUAACUUCGUG
rnacentral:rRNA from 1 species